GUAUGUGUUGUGUAUACAUUGUAUUUACGUAGUAUCAUCAUAUGAAAGAAUUUGAACAGAAAAAGAACUAAAGUCUUGUAAAAAUGCUUUGCAGGUUAUUGAUCGUGUUUACAUGUUGUUUCAUGGUUCUAGCAAGAGGCGGCAAUCUGACCUUGGACGAGUGUCUUUCGAGAAUCGGAGAACUAGAUGAAAUCAAAGAAAGGCUACAAAAGCUGGAAAGUAUCUCCAGUGUUUCACGCAGACUGCUAUUACCACCAGGAGGUUCAGUCCAUUCUAAAGUCGCAUUUUAUUCACAACUGUCUAAAGAUGUGGAUCACAUUGGCAACCACCAAACUAUUGUGUUUGACACAGUUACUACCAACAUCGGAGGCGGAUACAAUCCAAAUGAUGGAAUAUUUACGGCACCAGUUACUGGGACCUAUGUGUUUUUCUGGCUGAAUACUAACAGAGAUCACAGCUAUAUGAACACAGAGCUUGUGAGGAAUUCUGUGGUUGUUGGCAAAUCAAUGUCAGAUGCCAUGGACCAUAUUGAUUAUGCAGCAUCUUCUAAUACAGCCGUUUUGCAACUAAAUGAAGGAGAAGAGGUUUGGGUUCGAUCUGGGACUUGGCACAGCGCCGUGGUCGCCGGAGACUUCUACUCCACAUACUCUGGCUGGCUCCUGUAUGAAGGCUAGGUUGAACGAUUGCUUUGUUUCGUCGUCUGUAAUACUGCAUAGUUAAUGGCGUGAAUUAAAAUGCUAUUUUCAGUGGCAUUUUUAGACAUUUACAGUCUCAUCGGAGGCUAAGGUCUUUAUGUCACUUUCCGUGUUUUCAAGUUUGUUUUUGCUAGUUUACAUUAAAUCCCCUAACUGAGUACAAGUACAAACACGUACACACAGAAGUUACAUGAACAUACUAAUGUUAUGAAUUAGCAGAAGACAAUGAAAAAAGUUUAGGUCAUAUCUUCCUAGGUCGGCUAUAACAAUGCUUCUUGAGUAAACCGAACUUCGCCGUAAACUUGAUAAACGGUAUAAAUACCGCGCCGUUGGUAGACAUUACGAAACUAUCAACCUUACCAACGUUCUUAAAAAUUGAAUGAAUGCACCAUUAAGUCAUUUACAUGAAAGACCGGUGGUGAAGUAAUAAUUUCACUUUUCACAACAGAAAUCUUGAAAUUGUACAAAAUCAUAAAUUCAUGAUUUCACAGUUUCAUGAUUUGUAGAUCUUUACGUCAUACUGUAUGAUUUCACGUUUGUAAAAAAAUCAGGAAUUUAGAAGGGUGAAAAAGUUUAUUAUUCCAUACUUCAUUAUUUCACCUGUCGUGUAAUUUAAGAAAUCACGAAGUUGAUAGAUUCAUUAUUUUAUACUUCAUUAUUUUCCUUCUUAUGAAAUUUUAGAAGCUGUGAAGUCCUGAAAAAAUGUGAAAUAGUCUUUUUCAUUCUUUCAUUCUUCACAAGUUCACGUUUUAUGAUUUAUUUCAGAAAUCGUGAAGUCCUGACGUGUGAAAUGGUGGAGUUUAUUAUUUCAUAUUUCACCGGCUAGCGUAUUUUGAUUUUUUGAAAUUAGAUAAACUUCACGAAUUCAUACUUCAUCAUUGCAUAUGUAAAGAAAUUUAAAAGGUAAAGUCGUGGAGUACGAAAGUCGCGGUGUAUUUCACGGAAAAUUUAGAAAUUUUAAAGUCGUAAUGUUUGAAAUUUUAAAGUUCCUUAUUUCAUACCUCACAAUUUAGUCGUAAAAUGUGAAGAAGUGAAGUUCCUUGUUUCAUACUUCACGGUUCCGCGUUUUGUAAUUUUUUAAAAAUCGUUAAGGUCGUUAUUUCAUACUUCACGAUUUCACCUUUAAAUAGAAAAAUCUGUGAAAUUAUGAAGUGUGAAAUUUUUUUUCGUUUCAUUAAAGUCUGCAUUGUAAAAACGAUAAAGAAAAAGCCAUAAAAGUCUGUACUUUCCCAAAGUUCAAAUGAUAAAUAACUAGAAGGUAAGAGUAGAGUUCCUUGAAGAAUUGAACCAGGUCAACACAAACAAGCCUCCACAAUAUUAACAUUGCAUACUCAAUUUUCGGCGUGUAGUGACUUCAGUUUUACUGUAUUUCCUGGUCCUUCUUGGCAUGCUGCUUUAAAUUCAACACGUGAAGUUCUUCAAGUGUAAAUGUGGUAUGAAGAAAACAAGUCAAAUUUGUAAAUUUAAGUUUUUUAUUAAAAUAUCCCAGUUGUACUUCUGGAUAGUUUCUUUGGCUGUUCUGUAUAUGACAUGAAUGUAUGCUUUGUAAUAACACUAUUAAUAAAGACCUUUGGAAUCACCUUUAGAAUUAAUAGGUAUUCAAACAUACCCCACCCCCUUAAGAUCAAAGAAGUUUGGGCAUUUUCACUUAUUUCGAACACAUACUAUACACUCGUUUGUGCGUCUUGAUAUAAUUUGAUAUUAUAUAUUAUAUACUACCUUACAAACCUGUGAAACAGUUAUUAGUAUAAACGAAACAAAAGCAUCUGUGGCAGUCGUCUUUUACUGAUGACCUGAAUACACACACAGGGCCUUGAUAUAUGUAGAUAAGAUGUCAUGCGCUUAAAAUAAGAUGUCGUGCACACGAGAUAAGAUGUCGAGCGUUCGAGAUGAGAUAUCGUGCGCUCGAGAUAAGAUGUCAUGCGCUCGAGAUAAGAUGCCAUGUGCACGAGAUAAGAUGUCGAGCGCUCGAGAUAAGAUGUCGUGCGCACGAGAAAAGAUGACGAGCGGUCGAAAAAAGAUGUCGUGCGCUCGAGAUAUGAUGUCGUGCGCUCGAAAUAAGAUAUCAUGGGAAUGGGAUAAGAUAUCGUGCGCUCGAGAUAAGAUGUCGUGCGCACGAGAUAAUCUAAUCUUGAAAAAAAAAUGCAUCAAUAAAGAGCAUACUAUAAUAACAAUUGAGCGCAUUUAUUUUCCUUAAUCGAUACAUUCAAGUAGAUUGUUUAAAUCUAAUGCGCAGUUCUCCUUAAUUUAUAUUUAAUACUUAGGCAGUGCAUAUAUAUAGUUUUUGUUAUUUUUUUAAACAUUUUUGAUGUAUACGGAACCAUUGUAUUUUCCUUAUCUGCUGAAAAAUUUAUUUCAUUAGUUUGUUACGUAUCCAGAUUGGCCUAAUCCAUACAUGUCAUUAUAUGCACGCCUAACAUUUAUUAUUCAUGUUAAUAAACUAUGUUACAUAAACAACAGAAUCGCUAGAAUUCCAAACAAUUAAGAAGAGGAAACACAAGCACUAAUUGGAUCUUAAAGUACCAGUUUCCGUUUAUUUUGCAAUGUGAUAAAAUUAUCGUCUGUUGGCUUGUCGUGGUCCCGGCUAUUUGCGUUUAAAUCAACUUAAGAGAAGUGUUUGUUUUUAUCACUGGAUAUAUAAAGCAGUAUAUGCGGCUAUUUCGUUUGGAACUAGAUCUAAGUUCUUAAAGAUCAACGUAACAAAAUUCAUCACAUUGAUACAAAUAAAAAUGCAGAAAACUGGCAUUAUGAUUCUAAUUAUCUGCCUGGCAUUGGUGGUUUGUAUUGAAAAAUCUACGGCCAGACGGAAUUGCUGUGCUAGAAGACACUGUGGAAGAUGGGAGCAAUGUGUACAGAUUGGGAGAAGAUGCCGAUGCUUAAGUGCAUGGGCGCAUGCUCUGCGCCGCAAUGACAACCAGUUUAAUGAUGGAAUUCUGACGGCUUAAUGUAUACGUCGUUUUUCUCUCACUUAUUUGUAUAUUAGUCCGCAGAUUAUAUCACUUUGACCAGUGACUGCUGGCGAUACUUCACAAUGGAUACUAGCAGUAUUGACAUUCUAACUGUUCAUCAAAUAGUGAUACUUUUUCUGUCAGCUUGCUAUUUAGUGAUCACUUAGGCAAAUUACUGCUAUAAACACGAAGAUGAACUGAACAGAACAGAACAGAAUAAAGUUUUAUUGAUUAUGUAUAUAAACGCUAAUAUUAAGUUUGAUAAAUUCUAACAUUCUAUUAGGUUUAGUGCCGUGACAAUUACUACUGGAGUAACUAAUAUUCUGACAUCAUCAUACUUUAAUUAACCAUAAUUCAGUUACUUUCCACCUUUCAUCUGAUAACCAAGAACACUUUCAUUAAUCUUUAUGUCUGUGUAUAUUUUAGUUCACUCCGUAUCAAAAAAAUAUUCAAAACCCAUAGUUUUGCACUGUUUAACUACCAUGAUUUCAGCACGAUACAAAUAACGGCAUCAAAUCUUAACGUUCUGUAUCAGUAUUUUAUAUCAGAUUCUUUAAAGAUAAGGGACAAUUUUUUUCCUAUUCUUAACCUUUAGCCUGUGGUUCUGUUUUUGCGACCAGUGCAGACUAUAAGCCUGCACAUCCGUGCAUGCUGAUCAUGACUUGCACUGUUCGCUAUUCAGUCAGUAACUUUUCAGUAAAGACCCAUUCUAACAGUAAAUGGUAUUACCCAAAUUAAAUGACAAACCAGUCCAUUUUAGAAAUUUAGUAGGCUAACGGUUAAAUGAUUCUAGUAAGAAUUAUCUACUUUAUUUCAAAUAAUGCUCUUUGAAAUUUUCUUAAAACGUUCACAAGCUUGUUAAAAUCGUCAUUAUUUUUUCUGAGUAUUUUAUUGACUUUAUUUUUGCAUUUUUUCAACAUUUCAAACUUUAUAAAUUUUGCUUAGAAAUAAACCUUUCUAUUACA